rnacentral:rRNA from 1 species
GUUCCACCUCUUCCCAUUCCGAACAGAGAAGUUAAGCCUUGUCACGCCGAUGGUACUGCGUCACAGUGGGAGAGUAGGUAGCCGCCGUUU